AUGUGAAAUUAAAAUUUGCACCCCCUCACCGAUCUCCCAAACCCCCUGAUACUAAGCAGUCUCUUGGUGGGGACACCUCAACAAUCUCCCAGGCAGGCCGGUACUAUGCCGUCUUUUGGGUGUCACAUUCUUCCCCCCUUACAGGCACAGCAUCCCCGAAGUGGCCCCACCACUAGUGUCGGGAGUUUGCUCUG